UUCAAAUGUGGUAUUGGGCAAUGAUUAACUAAAUCAUGCCGUAUUGUCCUCAAAUGAUCUUUUACACUUAGAUCUUGAGGAGAAGGUUGCUUGUGAACUCAAAACAUAAGUUCGUGCAGGAAAUCAGAUUUCCGCGCAGCAUGACCUUCAAUUACUAGAACAGUCGUAACUUUCUCUAGGAAAUACAUAUGAACGAACCGUAAACGGUUUUGGAAACUAGACUCAUUUAGCUUUCCAACCGUAUAUUACACACGUUCUGGUUCCUCAGGAGCUAUUCACAACAUUCCGUCGAAGUUGACUGUUUUGCUAAAAUCAGAUUCUCGGACAGAUUCGUCCUACUUUACGAAAACGGCCAUAACUCACUCAAUAUGAUAGGUAUGAUCAAAUGGUUGGUGUCCCUGGAAAGUAGACACAUAGACCUUUCCAAUGGUACCAAUUUCACCAUUUUCCAGUGAGUGAGAUUUCCUAUAGGUCUCGUGGAAGUUGACCUACAAAAAUUGGCAGAUUCUGAUUUCGCUUUUGAUGUGUCUUUCUUAUGUAGGGAUAGAAUAAGCCUCAACCUUUCAUACCAUUAAGUAUUGAAAAAGGAGUUACUGCCAUUACAUUGGCGUUACGUGGGCGCAUAGCUACACUUAGCUUUACAACUUUUCAUAGCGAAUGAGAUGUCAAGUCUUUUGUAUUGUGUUGAGUACAUUGAUGCGUCUCUUUGUACUUAGAUGGGAACUCCAUCUCUUAACACAUAUUUGUCAUCUUGCUUUAGACAAAACAACGGAUCUCUCUUUAGAGCAAAGACCUUGACUAAUCAUGGGAGUAUAUGUAGGCCUCACUAGUUAUAGAGCGCCUAAGCCGAUUGAUCAUCAAUACAGUCAUCGAGUGCCUUAUCGAGACUGUGUCUUCCCAAGAUCUUUUUCUUCGGAUGUUGAUACAUAUUGGCAUCUCUUGAUCCAUCAAGAGUCCAUGUAAAUCCGGAAUGAACACGCAAAGGCAUAAUUCACCAUAUCCCUUCCAAAUCAA
rnacentral:lncRNA from 1 species